AAAACUAAAAUCACAUUAAUAUAAAUUUUAUAAAAAAUUUUCAAAUAUUUUAUAAAUAUAUUUUAAUAUCUUUUUUCCGAUGAAAUUAAAAUUAAAAAAAAAAUCGUAUGAAAAGAAAUUCAAAAACUAGUACAUCAUGAAAACUCUUCAAAUAAUAAUAAUUAAAAAAAAAAAAGAGUAGGAAAGGAGUAAAAGGGGCCAUAAUAUCGAUAGAGUAUGAUUAUUAAAUUAGUGUAAGACCAUACCUCAAUCUCGAUGAACUCCAAAAGAAAUAACAAAACAAAGAAACAAGGAAACAAAAGAAGAGUAAUGGCAGCCAUGUGUACAGCUGCGCCCAUCACACCGUAUGCUUUAGGUUAGCUUCCACCCAUACUUUUAAUAAUACACACACACUUGCUGCUUCUGUGUCUUCUUUCCUGUGAUCACUGCAUAUGUCUUUUCAUUCCCCUACUUCCUUUCCUAUCCUAUCCUAUUCUUUUCCAUUUAGGAUUUCCCUGUUUCGCAUUUUUCCAUCGCAGCAGCUACCGGUAAUUAUCUCCACUGAUUCACUACGAAGUUUUUGGGAAGUUGUAAAGAGAAGAUGGUAUUGGUGGUGGCGCAAAUGGGUCUGCCUCCAUGUGGCACCAUCAUAGUGGAGGGGCCCUGUGCUUCCUCGCCCAUCCAUCUAUGUUUCUUGAUUUCUAGAACUUGCCAUUUCGAGACAUUGAAACUACUGUUAUUUAUUCUGUUGACUGCCUGCUUCUCAAGUUGGAAAGUACUCGAUAGCUAUAGUAAAAGACAGGAUCCCGUGCAUUUGUUAAACUAAAUUUUGAGCUUUGUAUUUGCUUGAGAUUUCUGUGAAUGAUUUAAUAUUGUUAAUAUUAUUGCAGCAAAUUAAGUUUGAAGGCUUCAA